CGGCGAGUGAAGCGGCAACAGCUCAAAUUUGAAAUCUGGCUCUUUUAGAGUCCGAGUUGUAAUUUGCAGAGGGCGCUUUGGCUUUGGCAGCGGUCCAAGUUCCUUGGAACAGGACGUCACAGAGGGUGAGAAUCCCGUACGUGGUCGCUAGCUAUUGCCGUGUAAAGCCCCUUCGACGAGUCGAGUUGUUUGGGAAUGCAGCUCUAAAUGGGAGGUAAAUUUCUUCUAAAGCUAAAUAUUGGCCAGAGACCGAUAGCGCACAAGUAGAGUGAUCGAAAGAUGAAAAGCACUUUGGAAAGAGAGUCAAACAGCACGUGAAAUUGUUGAAAGGGAAGCGCUUGCAGCCAGACUUGCUUGCAGUUGCUCAUCCGGGCUUUUGCCCGGUGCACUCUUCUGCAGGCAGGCCAGCAUCAGUUUGGGCGGUGGGAUAAAGGUCUCUGACACGUUCCUUCCUUCGGGUUGGCCAUAUAGGGGAGACGUCAUACCACCAGCCUGGACUGAGGUCCGCGCAUCUGCUAGGAUGCUGGCGUAAUGGCUGUAAG
rnacentral:rRNA from 1 species